UCCGAGUUGACCCCGGCAGUUUCCUGAGAGUCCCCGCCAUUACGCGCUGACAACACAGGACAAGGGUUGCGCUCGUUGCGGGACUUAACCCAACAUCUCACGACACGAGCUGACGACAGCCAUGCACCACCUGUGAACCGACCACAAGGGGGGCCGUAUCUCUACGGCUUUCCAGUCCAUGUCAAACCCAGGUAAGGUUCUUCGCGUUGCAUCGAAUUAAUCCACAUGCUCCGCCGCUUGUGCGGGCCCCCGUCAAUUUCUUUGAGUUUUAGCCUUGCGGCCGUACUCCCCAGGCGGGGCGCUUAAUGCGUUAGCUACGGCACGGAUUUCAUGGAAGGAAACCCACACCUAGCGCCCACCGUUUACAGCGUGGACUAC
rnacentral:misc_RNA from 1 species